rnacentral:rRNA from 1 species
GACGAACGCUGGCGGCGUGCUUAACACAUGCAAGUCGAGCGGGAAACUUCGGUUUCCAGCGGCGGACGGGUGAGUAACACGUGGGCAACCUGCCUCACAAUGAGGGAUAGCCUUCCGAAAGGAAGAUUAAUACCUCAUAACACAAGAGAAACGCAUGUUUCUUUUGCCAAAGAAUUUCGUUGUGAGAUGGGCCCGCGGCGCAUUAGCUUGUUGGUGAGGUAACGGCUCACCAAGGCUUCGAUGCGUAGCCGACCUGAGAGGGUGAUCGGCCACAUUGGAACUGAGACACGGUCCAGACUCCUACGGGAGGCAGCAGUGGGGAAUAUUGCACAAUGGAGGAAACUCUGAUGCAGCAACGCCGCGUGAGUGAUGAAGGUCUUCGGAUUGUAAAGCUCUGUCUUCUGGGACGAUAAUGACGGUACCAGAGGAGGAAGCCAUGGCUAACUACGUGCCAGCAGCCGCGGUAA